AUCAACUUGUCACGAUCCGGAUUCCCCAUCCUCGGGAGUCGUGAUGGCGCCUACUAAUGGAAGCUAGGCAAACCAAACCUUAAUCUCUAUAUAAUGAUAAUAUACUCCUUUUUAACAAUUAUCAGAAAUAGCAUGAAACAACGAAAAUAAAUAAACAAAUAAGCGAAAGUCUUUGAUUAAAGGAACUAGUUAAAAUGCGGAAAUCCAACAUAAUCCUCUACCUAAGACUGGUGUCACAAUACUCAAAAACAAUUAAGAGUACUAAAUACAAUCGUGUGAAAGAAAAUAUAACUGAUUGUCUCGAAUACAAUGAGAUAACAGAAUAAAAUAAAGGAUAGAGGUGACGCGGGGCCUGCGGACGCCUGCAGGGCUGCCUCGAUGUCUCGCUGGACUGAAGGCUGGAUCCCGAUCUAAUACUGCUGCUCAAAUGAUGCUCCGGCACCUAGAUCUGUGCAAAAGAGCAGAGAGUGUAGCAUCAGCACAACCGAUCUCAUGUGCUGGUAAGUGCCUAGUCUAACCCUGUGAAGUAGUGAUGAGGCUAGACCGGACUACCAUGUAAACCUGUGCAAUUACGUGAUAUAUUGCAGAAAAUAAACACGAAACGAGAAGUUAUAAGGGAGGGGGUACAUGCUUCGGGGAACAAUAUCAACCUAGCAGAAACCCAAUACAUGAAAGAAAAGUACAACAUCUACAACAAUUCAAUAACACUACUAUUGCGGUACGCAACCUGAUCCCUUAUUAAUUAACUCUGUUGCGGCGUGCAACUCGAUCCAUAUACAUAUAGUUGUUGCGGCGUACAACCCAAUCCAAAUAUGAUAUAUGUUGUGGCGUGCAACCUGAUCCAAUAUAAUAUCUGUUGCGGUGUGCAACUCGAUCCAAUAUAAUAUCUGUCGCAAUAUGCAAUCCGAUCCAACAUAAUAUAUAAAUAUACAACUUACAUUGAUCAUAACAACAGUCCCGGCAAGGAAUUAACCAUAAUUUAUACUAUCCCGUGCAAGGGAACUCAACAAUAUAAGUAUAUACGUCAAGGCAAGGAGAAUAUCAACAAAAUAAGAAAAUGUCCCGGCAAGGGAAUAAACCAGUAACUCUUUCUCUUUCUUUCAUUUUCAUCUCAUAGUUCACAUUAUGACAUGAGCCAGUGCUCCAAGGAUUUAAUUAUCUCAUAUACCUUCACAACUCUAUUUCAACUCCUCGAAGUUUAAAGAUCACAAUUCCUUUCAAAUGCUCUUUACAACAUAUAGAGAUCAUCAAUUAAGCAUGGAAGUUACUGAAAAGAUCAAAAUAUUCGCAAUAUAAAGACUCACAUUUAUGCUAGACAUCAGUGUAUAGAUACUCGUCACCAUGCCUAUACAUCGCACUCGACAAUUAACAAGUAGCAAGUAAGACUCAACACCUAUUCUCUCAAGCUAAGGUUAGACCAAACACUUACCUCAAUACCUUGAAUUCAACUCAAGCCUCAAUUAUAGAUUUACCCCUUGGUUCCACCACCAAUCCACUCGAAUCUAGUCAUAAGUUACUUAAUCACAUUAACAAAUACUAAAUGAAUCAACCCCAAUGCAUGAAAACAAGUUUUACAAGGUUUUACCCAAAAGGUCAAAAAUUCCCCCGGGCCCAUGUGGUCUAAACUCGAGUUUCGGACCAAAAUCCGAUUAUCCAUUCCCCCACAAAUUCAAAUAUAUGAUUUAAUGUUAAAUCGAACCUCUACUUAAGGUUCAACGCCCCAAUUUUUUUGAAAACCUAGGUUCUACCCAACACACCCAAUUUUCCCUUGAAAAUCUUUGAUUUGAAGUUGAAAUCAUGUUAAAAGAUGAUAAGGAGUGAAGAAAAUGAGUUAGAAAUCGCUUACUAAUCAUUUUGGAGAAGAAGAGUUGUUUGGAAAAUUGCCUCUUAUGUUUUUGGGGUUUUGAAAAAUUGUAAAAUAACUGAAAUUCACGUGUAUUUAUACCCCUCUGAAGUUCCCUGUGCGGGCCGUGCAAAAAGGACCGCGGUCGCACGGGCUUUCUGAAGACCUACGGAUCAUUGCCUAGUGCGGACCGCACCAAGCCGACCGCGGCCGCACAACACCUAUUGCGGACCACGCAAAGGUGACCGCGGCCGCGCUGGCCCUUCCGCGGCCACACACGAUUUCUCGCGGGCCGCAGAAGAGGGUUCAGAGACCGGUCAAUUUCCUGAACCUGCAACAUCUGAUCUUUUUAAGCCUAAGGCAUCCCGGAACCUACUCAAUGCUCACCCGAGCCCUCAAAACUCUAAUCCAAGUAUACAGACAACCGCAAAAAUAUCUUAUGAACAUAUUCGUAUGAUCAAAUUAAAUAUAACACCAUGAACAACGAAUUGAACCUCAAGAUCAAUGAAAUUUUUCAAAACUCCCUUUUAAGCAUAAUUUUUUCAAUUAGGGUCCAGAUCGGGUCAAACGACGUCCGUUUUUAACCAAACUUUAUAGGAGUGAUUCAAAAAUAUAUGAGAUUUGUACCGUGCGCCGGAAACAAAAUAUGGGCCCGAUACCAUUACUUUUAUAUUAGAUUUCACUUCAACUCUUUUCAAAUAUUUUUAGAAAGAAAUUUCACUUAAAAUCUAUAUCUCGAGCUUGGGACCUCGGAAUUCGACUCCGGGCAUGCGACCAAGUCCCAUAUUUUCCUACAGACCUUCCGGAACCGUCAAAUCACGGAUCCGGAUCCAUUUACCCAAAAUAUUGACCAAAAUUAAAUCUAUUAAUUUUAAUAUCAAAAUUUAACAUUUUUCAUAGAAUUUCAAGUAUAAACUUUCCGGCUACGCGCCCGGAAUACGCACGUAAAUCGAGACAACCGUAAAUGAGGUUUUUGAGGCCUCGAAGACAUGGAAUUCGAUUGAAAACAGUUGAUGACCCCUUGAAUCAUCACACCUGAACUCGGUCAAAAUAUAUAUUUUAAACCUCUCUAACCGUUGACUGAGCUUAUGUGUUAUUCAAUUAGUUAAGUCAGAAAAAUGCAUGGUUACAGGCUCUAAAUAUGAAAGUGGAUAUACUUAUUUUGAUUUAAAAAUAUUAAAAAUAAAAAAGAAUAACCAUAAAAAAGUAAAAAUUGGCUAAGUCAGAGUGUUUUAAAAUAUAUAUUUUGACCGAGUUCAGGGGUUUAAAAUAUAUACUUGUGUCACUUUGUUAUCCAUGUCCCUGUAUUAAUGAAAUUUCAUCUAGACACCUGAACUCGGUCAAAAUAUAUAUGUAUUUUAAACCCUCUGAUCUUUGACUGAGCUUAUGUGUCAUUCAAUUGUCUACGUAAGAAAAAUGCAUGGUUACACGCUCUAAAAAGGAGAGUGAAUAUGCUUAUUUUGAUUUAAAAAUAUUAAAAAUAAUAAAUAAUAACCAUAAAAAAGAAAAGGAGUAAAUUAAUUUUCCAAUCCAACUAUCUCUACCCGUUUCCCAACCUUUCGACCUUAUUUCACCUCGUUUCUUCCUAUCUUCUUCUCCCCCCUCCCCCCCAAUUUCCUAUCGUAACCCCAUUUUCCCUUGCCUUAUGAAUAUUUAUUUAUUUGCUUUUGAGCGUAGUAAAUCCAAAAGGAGUAUUUUUAGCCACACUUCGUCUUCACACUUGAAAUUUUGGGGGAUUGUUCAAUAGUUAAAAACAAUAAAAAAUUAUGUCUUCUUCUCCCUUUUUAGCAACCAAAAUUCUAAAUCUUUUUCAACUUUCCGUAACCAAUACAUUAAAAAACAAUCUUUAUAGAUAAUUUUGAACAUAAAUUUGGAAAAAACAAUUGAAUCGAAGAGAAAAUUUUGGAGAAGAAGAAUUAAUUUUUGUGUGGAUAGCUUGUACGAGAUAAAAUCUGAAGUGGAGGUUUCUUUCCUCUGUCCCUUUGACUGGUGACCACCAGUGAUUCCCAACAAGUAUUUCUUGAUUCAAUGAAAUUUUGUUGUACAAAAAUGGAUGCUUUCUACUUGGAUUUGUUUCAGCUGACGAGAAAGAGAUGAAAGAUGAGAGAAAUAAGAACAGUGGAGAGGAGUUGGAGUCGUCGAUUACCUUUUCUGAUCUACUCCGCUGAUGGUGUAACAGUUGUCUCUGGCGAUGAAUGUUUUCUUUUGUCGUUUCUGAGUCAAUGGAUAGAGGAGAGCAAGUAAAAGGUUACUGGUAUGGUGUUAGAUUUGGCAAAGUGAGCUUUUCCGGUGAGAUUUUCGGUGAGAGAUUUUGAGAUGGAGACAUCAACGAGAAAGAAGGGAACGAUGCGCAAAUAUUGCUACUUUUUCCUUUUCUUUUUUCUUUUCUUUUUUCAUUCUUAUUUUGGUCUCAAUCUAAAAAGGUGC
rnacentral:lncRNA from 1 species